rnacentral:rRNA from 1 species
GACGAACGCUGGCGGCGUGCUUAACACAUGCAAGUCGAACGGAAAGGCCCUGCUUUUGUGGGGUGCUCGAGUGGCGAACGGGUGAGUAACACGUGAGUAACCUGCCCUUGACUUUGGGAUAACUUCAGGAAACUGGGGCUAAUACCGGAUAGGAGCUCCUGCUGCAUGGUGGGGGUUGGAAAGUUUCGGCGGUUGGGGAUGGACUCGCGGCUUAUCAGCUUGUUGGUGGGGUAGUGGCUUACCAAGGCUUUGACGGGUAGCCGGCCUGAGAGGGUGACCGGCCACAGUGGGACUGAGAUACGGCCCAGACUCCUACGGGAGGCAGCAGUGGGGAAUAUUGCACAAUGGGCGGAAGCCUGAUGCAGCAACGCCGCGUGUGGGAUGACGGCCUUCGGGUUGUAAACCGCUUUCGCCUGUGACGAAGCGUGAGUGACGGUAAUGGGUAGAGAAGCACCGGCUAACUACGUG